ACUAACGCUGGUGGUGUGCCUAACACAUGCAAGUCAAACGGAUUUUGUACCAAUAUAAGAUUAGUGGCGGACGGGUGAGUAAUACGUAAACAAUCUGCCUUUUAGUUGGGGAUAACCUAGAGAAAUUUGGGCUAAUACCGAAUAAGAUUGCGAGGAGGCAUCUUCUUGCAAUGAAACGAGCAAUCGGCUAAAAGAUGAGUUUGCGUCUGAUUAGCUAGUUGGUGAGGUAAUGGCUCACCAAGGCUGUGAUCAGUAGCUGGUCUGAGAGGACGGACAGCCACACUGGAACUGAGACGCGGUCCAGACUCCUACGGGAGGCAGCAGUGAGGAAUUUUGCGCAAUGGACGAAAGUCUGACGCUGCGACACCACGUGAAUGAUGACGUCUUUCGGGAUGUAAAGUUCUGUCAGCAGGGACAAUAAUGAUGGUACCUGCAGAGGAAGCACCGGCUAACUAUGUGCCAGCAGCCGCGGUAAUACAUAGGGUGCAAGCGUUGUUCGGAAUUACUGGGCGUAAAGCGCAUCAAGGCGGCAAUCUAAGUCAAAUUUGAAAUACAGGGGCUCAACCCCUGUCUGGGUUUGAUACUGGAAUGCUAGAGUUUGGGAGAGGAAAGCGGAACUAACAGUGUAGCGGUGAAAUGCGUAGAUAUUGUUAGGAACACCCGUGGCGAAGGCGGCUUUCUGGACCAAAACUGACGCUGUCGUGCGAGAGCAUGGGGAGCAAACAGGAUUAGAUACCCUGGUAGUCCAUGCUGUAAACGAUGUACAUUAGUAUAGAGGGUAUCGACCCCUUCUGUGCCGAAGCUAACGCGUUAAAUGUACCGCCUGGGGAGUACGGUCGCAAGACUA
rnacentral:rRNA from 1 species